AAUCUUGCAUGUAUGGGGGAUAAAUAGACAUAAAAGUAUUAAACUAUCUGCACAAAAUCAACUUAGUUAUCUACUUGCCUAAAGCCCUUUGCAGUCAGAAUUCUCCUUUGUUAAGAGUUGAAUAUGAGUAUUGUUGUUUCUGUUUACCCCUGGCCCCCUUCAAGAAUCCACAGCUCAGCUGUCUAUACAGUCAUCCUGUGACAGCUUCAUCAUCACCCUCACCUCCUCCCAGGGUUUCCCCCAGCCUGAUGUGUGGUGGACAGACUCCAUUGGAGGAGACAUCUACAAUUAGAGCCACUGCUAAAUCGGUCUGGAAAGCAGGGGGCGCUAUGAGGUCCACAGCUCCAUGGAGGUCAGGCCAAACAGUACACUCACCAUCAUUGCUGAAAUGAGACUGGAGGAUCUCAAUCAAAGCUUCACCCGCUCGCUCACCCUCCACCCACUCCCAGAAUGCUGUGAGCUGCUUCUUGCAACCGGGGGCAGACCGGCUUUGGUAUUAUUAGGGAUAGUUCUCUUAGCAGCUUCAGACGUCUGAAACACACCAACACCAGCUGAUCCCACAUGACUAUACAACAGGACAAGAUGAGGCUCAUGAAACAGAGACUUGAUACAUCAUGAACAAAAAUUAGUUAUAAAAGUCUAAGCUUACAGGACUGUUUCAAUGUCACAAAUAUAGGUGUGUGUGUUGCUGCCUUCUGAAAUAUUUCCACUCCCUAUUGGUAAUGUAUUAUAGAGUACUGCUAGCAGUAGACUUUGCUACUCUCUGCAGCCCUAUGUAAUCCAGACUAUUUUGUUUUCUUUGGGGAUGCAGAGCUGUCAUGAAGGUGAAGAGUGGCUGCUUUGAAGAGUCUCAAAUAUACAUUUAGAUUUGUUUAACACUUUUUUUGAUUACGGCAUGAUUUCAUAAAGUGUUAUUUCAUAGUUUUGAUGUCUUCACUAUUAUGCUACAAUGUAGAAAAUAGUACAAAUAAAGAAAAACCUUUGAAUGAGUUGGUGUGUCCAAACAUUUGACUGGUACUGUACAUUUUGUCCAAUGUUACUGUCAAAUGUGGCCUGGUAACAACAACUGGGAAAAGUACUAUCCACCUUACAG
rnacentral:lncRNA from 13 species